CUGCUGAACUGUGCUGGGUGAGCGUGGCUGUUUCUUUGUUUGUUAGCUUUAAUCUUAGUUAUUAAUGUAGUUUGGUCUGCUCUGUUUAGCUUCUUUCGUUGCUCCUCCAAAACCUGGACUGAUCUGUUUGUGUUUGCUUGGUGCUGGGAAGGUAAGGGCUAGCGUGGCUAGAUAACAUCCACCCCAUAUAAAUAAAGCCUUCACACAGCAUUUUGUUACAGCUGCGCUGCAUAGGCGGAAUUGUGACUCCGUUUAUUUGGCAGCCUGGUAAUGAAACAGGUAAGCGGCUAUCACAAAUACUAGUUUUCAUCAGCAGUUGUAUUGAUGAUCUGCUCUAUUUUUUUAGCUUCCUGAUGAGUCUUUGACCACCAUAAUACUGGAUUUGACACUCGCUGCUGUUUUGCCUAUAAAGAACUGUUUCGCCUAAAGAAAUUCUUAAAAGGACCUAUCUGGACUUUCCCCCUGCUGCCAGGAGCAUUGAUGACACUACCAUCCGGGAAAAAGUGCAAUAUUGUAGUGCUAUUGUACCACUGUUUUACUCAUAUUGUUUCAUUUUUGCCUUUCUUUUAGGGACUGAGGCUUCUGUGGUGGCGGUGGUGAUCCCUGGUGGCGUUGUCGGUAUCCCAUAUUAACUUUAACAUCUUACAUUUGGGUUUCAUAAAAAAAA